UGGGGAAUAUUGGACAAUGGGCGCAAGCCUGAUCCAGCAAUGCCGCGUGGGUGAAGAAGGCCUUCGGGUUGUAAAGCCCUUUUGUCCGGAACGAAAAGCUGUGGGCUAAUACCUCAUAGUGCUGACGGUACCGGAAGAAUAAGCACCGGCUAACUUCGUGCCAGCAGCCGCGGUAAUACGAAGGGUGCAAGCGUUAAUCGGAAUUACUGGGCGUAAAGCGUGCGUAGGCGGCCUGUUAAGUCUGCUGUGAAAGCCUCGGGCUCAACCUGGGAACUGCAGUGGAUACUGAUGGGCUAGAGUGUGAUAGAGGAUGGUGGAAUUCCCGGUGUAGCGGUGAAAUGCGUAGAGAUCGGGAGGAACAUCAGUGGCGAAGGCGGCCAUCUGGAUCAACACUGACGCUGAGGCACGAAAGCGUGGGGAGCGAAACAGGAUUAGAUACCCAAGUAGUCCCUGAGCGGGCUGGCAAGGCGCAU
rnacentral:rRNA from 1 species